GACCUAUAUGUCCCUGUCAACAGAGGUCUACAACGUACCUCUGACUGAAUCCCUUCCUAUAUGUCCCUGUCAACAGAGGUCUACAACGUACCUCUGACUGAAUCCAGACCUAUAUGUCCCUGUCAACAGAGGUCUACAACGUACCUCUGACUGAAUCCAGACCUAUAUGUCCCUGUCAACAGAGGUCUACAACGUACCUCUGACUGAAUCCCUUCCUAUAUGUCCCUGUCAACAGAGGUCUACAACGUACCUCUGACUGAAUCCAGACCUAUAUGUCCCUGUCAACAGAGGUCUACAACGUACCUCUGACUGAAUCCCUUCCUAUAUGUCCCUGUCAACAGAGGUCUACAACGUACCUCUGACUGAAUCCCUUCCUAUAUGUCCCUGUCAACAGAGGUCUACAACGUACCUCUGACUGAAUCCCUUCCUAUAUGUCCCUGUCAACAGAGGUCUACAACGUACCUCUGACUGAAUCCCUUCCUAUAUGUCCCUGUCAACAGAGGUCUACAACGUACCUCUGACUGAAUCCCUUCCUAUAUGUCCCUGUCAACAGAGGUCUACAACGUACCUCUGACUGAAUCCAGACCUAUAUGUCCCUGUCAACAGAGGUCUACAACGUACCUCUGACUGAAUCCAGACCUAUAUGUCCCUGUCAACAGAGGUCUACAACGUACCUCUGACUGAAUCCAGACCUAUAUGUCCCUGUCAACAGAGGUCUACAACGUACCUCUGACUGAAUCCAGACCUAUAUGUCCCUGUCAACAGAGGUCUACAACGUACCUCUGACUGAAUCCAGACCUAUAUGUCCCUGUCAACAGAGGUCUACAACGUACCUCUGACUGAAUCCAGACCUAUAUGUCCCUGUCAACAGAGGUCUACAACGUACCUCUGACUGAAUCCAGACCUAUAUGUCCCUGUCAACAGAGGUCUACAACGUACCUCUGACUGAAUCCCUUCCUAUAUGUCCCUGUCAACAGAGGUCUACAACGUACCUCUGACUGAAUCCAGACCUAUAUGUCCCUGUCAACAGAGGUCUACAACGUACCUCUGACUGAAUCCAGACCUAUAUGUCCCUGUCAACAGAGGUCUACAACGUACCUCUGACU